CUUUGAGAAAUCUUUACAGUGUCAUAAAGGUGAAUAAAUGAUGGCAUCAUUUGUGUCAGCUAAAAUUCUGUCAUUAACUGUAUUUAUUAUUGAUUGUCAGAUUUUGAAGAAAGCUUUCUACAGUGGAUACCAAGAUACCGUAUACUUCCUGCAGCAGAGCAACGCGCUGCCACUGUAUCCUCAACGGAGAAAGGAGUCUGAUGCAUCUGAUGAUUCGGCGAGCUCAGAUCACUGGAUGCUGACACAGACUGAUCGUGCUGAAGAAGAGGAAUCCCAGCAGGACUGCCCUGAACAACCUGAACAGAAGACCGCCAAUGGAGUUUGUUCAUCUUUGAGUCCAUCCCUUCAAGAGCGGAUAGUACAUAAGAACUCACCAGUAGAGGUUCAGGAAGUGCUGUUGUCUAAUAUCAUGGGGCAGCUGGAGAUUGUGAGUAAUUCAAACGUCUCUUUACCUCAACGGACUCUCUCAUACCUGCUCUUAUUGUUCACACUGCCAAUCUGGAGUGCCACAACCUUAUGGGACAGGUAUCAUAAAUGGAUCACUAAUGCUAUGAAUGUAGCAUAUUGGCUUUGGCAUGGUGUUAAGCUUUUCAUGAUCUUCAUACUCAAAAUUGUACUGUCCUCAAUGAGGAAAGCCCUUGGAGACAUAAUGCUGAGUCUGAUCAGUUUCAUACCUGCACAAGUUCACGAUGAGCAGCAUAGACGCAGAGAGCUGGCUGAGAGACACAUGGCCUCCUCUAAUCUGAACGGUCACGUCUCUGCUGCUUUCCCGUCGAGUCCCUCCAUGGCACAGACCCUCCCAAACCUCUACACACUCCUGAUUUCACUAGAGACAGCAGAGAGCAAGUGGAGAAGACGCAAGAUAGAGAAAACAAAGGGCUGUACAAGAAAUAAAGAUCAGGCCUCCUGGAUGACGAAGUGGGGACAAUGUCACAUACACGUAUACACACAGACACAUGCAGACCAACACCUAAUAUCUCAGCUCAUCCACUGAAGUGCACAGUUCAUUAUCCAUCAACUUGUUGACAUCAAGAGUAUCUCCACAGACGGCGGAGAGAGGUGUGCUACUACACAGAAGGAUAACAUGUGCUUUUCCAAGCAGUCAAAGUUUUGCCAUUCACACUUCUAUAAGGCCUUGUUCACACAGGAAGCAAAAAUUCGAUUUUUUUGAUCAAAAUAUAUCAAAUCACAUUCUAAGGUCAUCUGAAAUGAAAGUUGAUAGAUUAAAAUCAGAUUUUUUCCAGUAACCUUGUGUAAAUAAAAAUACAUAAUGUACUUUUUAAAGAGUACUU
ensembl:lncRNA